CCUACGGGAGGCUGCAGUGAGGAAUAUUGGUCAAUGGACGAGAGUCUGAACCAGCCAAGUAGCGUGAAGGAUGACUGCCCUAUGGGUUGUAAACUUCUUUUAUAAAGGAAUAAAACGAGGCACGUGUGCCUUUUUGCAUGUACUUUAUGAAUAAGGAUCGGCUAACUCCGUGCCAGCAGCCGCGGUAAUACGGAGGAUCCGAGCGUUAUCCGGAUUUAUUGGGUUUAAAGGGAGCGUAGAUGGGUUGUUAAGUCAGUUGUGAAAGUUUGCGGCUCAACCGUAAAAUUGCAAUUGAAACUGGCAGUCGUGAGUACAGUUGAGGUAGGCGGAAUGCGUGGUGUAGCGGUGAAAUGCUUAGAUAUCACGAAGAACCCCGAUUGCGAAGGCAGCUUACUAGACUGUGACUGACAUUGAUGCUCGAAAGUGUGGGUAUCAAACAGGAUUAGAUACCCUGGUAGUC
rnacentral:rRNA from 1 species